rnacentral:lncRNA from 11 species
UUCAGAUGUCAAGUAUUUCUGUUAUUACAUAAACACUGAAAUUAGUUAAAAUCAGAUUUUUUAAAAAUUCGUAGACCUACUUCAAGAAAGAAGACCAAGCAAGAGGAAAAGGAACAUUAUGAAUUGUCUCAUGAAAAAGAUAUUAUAAGAGCAGUGACUUGGAGAAGGAGGCAAAACGAACUAAUCUGUCAAGCAGAGGAGCGACGCAUACUGCUAGAGCUUAACAAAAGGCUGUGCUCACGCAACCACUGUUUCACACCUACCAACUCUCAACAAUAUCAACAUCUACAACCUUCUGAAAGCCUUCCUGAAACUUUGUUUUCCUGGAUGCAGCCCGACAAACACAGCCAUCCAUACACUGUGAUGGAAGAAACUAUAAUUAAGCUCCCCAGAGAUUUCCCAUACAGGCUGGCCUGGGGAACACCAGCCACACAAGACCUAGGCAUUAAACUGUAUUGCCCUAAGAUGAAGCUGAAUAAGGAACGUAAAAUGAGCAGCCUGCUUAUUGAGAAGAAUUUGCAACCAACAAAAUCAAUCCCAGAAAAAGGGAGAUAUAUCUUAGUGAAUGACCAAGUUCCAGCAUCUUCAACUCCUCCUAUGAGCCCUCUGGAGAGCAAGUUACUCAGUGUGCGUUUCCCAAAGAUGAAGGAAAAGAUUCUUUGUUCUCUCAUGUCAGACUUGUAGGGAUCAUACUAGUCUUUUCUUUGAUUUUCAGCAGCCUUCGUUUAUGAAUCCUUUCAGUAUCUUCUGUUCCUUCCAUGGGUUCACUAGAGAGCAAGGUUCUGAGGGUACAACCUCCUACUCCCACACUGCUGUGUUUUCCCUCAUAUUGUUUGAAUAAGUUCCCACGGUUGGUUGGCCAAGUAAUAACACCAGUAUUUGAGCUCUCUUAUUCCAUUUUGUGGUAUGAAUUAUUUUUAAGAUGCACAUUUUGCUGCUUUUGAUUGAUUUAUCACAUGAAUAUUUCAUAAAUAAUAGUUCUGAGUUUAAUCAUAUUUAGUUUGAUAACAUAUUAAUAACUAAAGAAAAUAUUAUUUAUGGAUUAAUUGUGUAGUCAGCUAAACCAAGAAGUCUUACUCGUGCAGAUGUAUCAUAGUUAAUGCUGUAGAAAGCCUGGAUUCCUGGAAGGGUAAAAUAGUGUUUAUCCUUUAGGUGCAUCUAAUGGUAACUUCUAGUGCAUCAUUAAAAACUAUGCACAUUCUUUGCUUCCAUCCAUUUUUCUUCGACUCCCCCCCGCCCCCCGCCCAAAAACAACAACAAAAAAACCCAACAAACAAGUCAUUUCAAGCAGCCUUUGAAAUACAGUUUCUUGUCUAGAGAGGGCACCACAUGUUUUGGGACAAUCCAUUCAAUAAGCUGAUUGUCCAUUCCUGUCCAUUCUUUUUCUCUUUACUGACUAAUUUGUAGAUAUCGGUACUCACUGCUGCUGAUACAUUAUUGGCGAUAUCUAAACUCAAGUAAUCUAAAAUUGAUUCGUCCAUAUGAACAAUGAUAGGUAUUCAUCUUGUGAAGAUCAUCCAUCCCUGUACAUCCAUUUUUCCAGCUCCAAAAUAAUUGUAUGCGCCAGACCUCAGCUGGCUCAAGUCUACUAUUUGGCUUUUAUUUGGUACUUUUGGUUUGGAAGACUUUCAAGAUGACUUAGUACAUGUUCAGUGAAGAAAUCACAAGGACAGUGUCCCAUUAACUAGUUCUAGAAAGACCUUAGUCCUUGGAUCUUUAGCCCAAAUAUUUGAUAUCAAAACAAAAAGUGAAACAAUGGUGCUAAAUCGGUAAAUACUAUGCAUUUUUAAAAAGGUACUCUUAGUUAAUAGUAAUUACCUUGUAUAAGAUUUUGUUUUUCAGAUGCAUUUGACUAGUUUCUUUUUUCAGCUAUCAGUUGGAAACAAUUCAAUGUCGCUUCUCCUACAUAUCUUAAGGGACUGCCUUCUUCACUGUACUACUAUGUUCUCCAUCAUGUGUAGUCUCCCUAGCAAACCAGCUGAAUUACAUUAGAAUAAAGGCAAUGUUAGAGACCUUAGUUCUAACAUUUACCACGAAGCAACACAAAGCAGUUUCUUUUAAUAACAAUUUCAAUGAAAAAACAACAACAA